rnacentral:rRNA from 1 species
AUGAAGGGGACGGUCAAGUGGUUCAACGACACCAAGGGGUUCGGCUUCAUCUCCCCCGACGACGGCAGCGAGGACCUCUUCGUCCACCAGUCCUCCAUCAAGGCCGACGGCUUCCGCUCGCUGGCCGAGGGCGAGGUCGUCGAGUUCGCCGUCUCGGAGGGCGACGACGGCCGCACCAAGGCCGUCGACGUCACCGGCCCCGACGGAUCCUUCGUGCAGGGCGGCGCGGGCGGUGGCGGUGGCGGGGGCGGCUUCGGAUCCCGUGGCGGUGGCGGAUCUCGCGGCGGCGGGGGCUUCGGCGGCCGCGGCGGGGACGGAUCUGGCGGCUACGGAGGUGGGUACGGUGGUGGCGGUGGCGGAGGCUGGGGCGGCCAGAGGAGAUCCGGCGGUGGAGGCGCCGGCGGCGGAGGAGGCGGCGGCUACGGCGGCGGCGGCGGCGGCAACUGCUACAACUGCGGCGAGCCGGGCCACAUCGCGAGGGACUGCCCCACCAGCAGCGGCUUUGGCGGAGGAGGCGGCGGCGGCGGCGACCGCUCCUGCUACAACUGCGGCGAGCCCGGCCACAUCUCCCGCGACUGCACCAAGUGA